GACGAACGCUGGCGGCGUGCUUAACACAUGCAAGUCGAGCGGUAAGGCCCUUUCGGGGGUACACGAGCGGCGAACGGGUGAGUAACGCGUGGGUGACCUGCCCUCAGCUCUGGGGUAAGCCUGGGAAACUGGGUCUAAUACUGGAUAUGACUCCACGGUGCAUGUCGUGGGGUGGAAAGCCUUGUGCGGCUGAGGAUGGGCCCGCGGCCUAUCAGCUUGUUGGUGGGGUGAUGGCCUACCAAGGCGACGACGGGUAGCCGGCCUGAGAGGGCGACCGGCCACACUGGGACUGAGACACGGCCCAGACUCCUACGGGAGGCAGCAGUGGGGAAUCUUGCGCAAUGGGCGAAAGCCUGACGCAGCGACGCCGCGUGAGGGAUGACGGCCUGGUGUAACU
rnacentral:rRNA from 1 species